GUCCUGUUAGCUCAGUUGGUAGAGCAUCUGACUUUUAAUCAGAGGGUCAUGCGUUCAAGUCGCAUACAGGACA
rnacentral:tRNA from 1 species